rnacentral:rRNA from 1 species
GGGUGCAGCAGGCGCGAAAACUUUGCAAUACACGAAAGUGUGACAGGGUCAUCCCGAGUGCCGACCGCUGAGGUUGGCUUUUACCCAGUCUAGAAAGCUGGGGGAAUAAGGAGAGGGCAAGUCUGGUGUCAGCCGCCGCGGUAAUACCAGCUCUCCGAGUGGUGUGGACGUUUAUUGGGCCUAAAGCAUCCGUAGCUGGCUGAACAAGUCCCCUGUUAAACCCACCGAUUUAAUCGUUGGUCUGCGGGGGAUACUGCUCGGCUAGGGGACGAGAGAGGCAGACGGUAUUCCCGGGGUAGGGGUGAAAUCCUAUAAUCCCGAGAAGACCACCAGUGGCGAAGGCUGUCUGCUAGAACGCGCCCGACGGUGAGGGAUGAAAGCUGGGGGAGCGAACCGGAUUAGAUACCCGGGUAGUCCCAGCUGUAAACGAUGCAGACUAGGUGUUUGGACGGCCACGUGCCGUUCUAGUGCCGCAGGGAAGCUGUUAAGUCUGCCGCCUGGGGAGUACGAUCGCAAGAUUGAAACUUAAAGGAAUUGGCGGGGGAGCAC